rnacentral:tRNA from 1 species
GGGGAUGAAGCUUAAAUUUAGCGUCUGAUUGUAGGUCAGAAAGUGGGGUAUUUUUAUCCCUC